GACGAACGCUGGCGGCGUGCCUAAUACAUGCAAGUCGAACGCAGUGGGGACGGGUGAGUAACACGUGGGUAACCUACCAUCAGAGGGGAUAACACUUGGAAACAGGUGCUAAACCGAUACUGAGGGAUGGCCCCGCGGUGCAUUAGCUAGUUGGUGAGGUAACUGCUCACCAAGGCUACGAUGCAUAGCCGACCUGAGAGGGUGCUCGGCCACACUGGAACUGAGACACGGCCCCGACUCCUACGGUAGGCAGCAGUGGGGAAUAGUCGACAAUGGGCGAAAGUCUGACCUAGCCACGCCGCGUGAGGGAAGAAGGUUUUCGGUUCGUAAAGCUCUGUUGUUAGAGAAGCGGUAUCUAACCAGAAAGCCACGGCUAACUACGUGCCAGCAGCCGCGGUAAUUC
rnacentral:rRNA from 1 species